UGCAGUCGAACGCUUUUUCUUUCACCGGAGCUUGCUCCACCGAAAGAAAAAGAGUGGCGAACGGGUGAGUAACACGUGGGUAACCUGCCCAUCAGAAGGGGAUAACACUUGGAAACAGGUGCUAAUACCGUAUAACACUAUUUUCCGCAUGGAAGAAAGUUGAAAGGCGCUUUUGCGUCACUGAUGGAUGGACCCGCGGUGCAUUAGCUAGUUGGUGAGGUAACGGCUCACCAAGGCAACGAUGCAUAGCCGACCUGAGAGGGUGAUCGGCCACACUGGGACUGAGACACGGCCCAGACUCCUACGGGAGGCAGCAGUAGGGAAUCUUCGGCAAUGGACGAAAGUCUGACCGAGCAACGCCGCGUGAGUGAAGAAGGUUUUCGGAUCGUAAAACUCUGUUGUUAGAGAAGAACAAGGAUGAGAGUAAAAUGUUCAUCCCUUGACGGUAUCUAACCAGAAAGCCACGGCUAACUACGUGCCAGCAGCCGCGGUAAUACGUAGGUGGCAAGCGUUGUCCGGAUUUAUUGGGCGUAAAGCGAGCGCAGGCGGUUUCUUAAGUCUGAUGUGAAAGCCCCCGGCUCAACCGGGGAGGGUCAUUGGAAACUGGGAGACUUGAGUGCAGAAGAGGAGAGUGGAAUUCCAUGUGUAGCGGUGAAAUGCGUAGAUAUAUGGAGGAACACCAGUGGCGAAGGCGGCUCUCUGGUCUGUAACUGACGCUGAGGCUCGAAAGCGUGGGGAGCGAACAGGAUUAGAUACCCUGGUAGUCCACGCCGUAAACGAUGAGUGCUAAGUGUUGGGAGGGUUUCCGCCCUUCAGUGCUGCAGCAAACGCAUUAAGCACUCCGCCCUGGGGAGUACGACCGCAAGGUUGAAACUCAAAGGAAUUGACGGGGGCCCGCACAAGCGGUGGAGCAUGUGGUUUAAUUCGAAGCAACGCGAGAACCUUACCAGGUCUUGACAUCCUUUGACCACUCUAGAGAUAGAGCUUCCU
rnacentral:rRNA from 1 species